AGUGAACGCUGGCGGUAGGCCUAACACAUGCAAGUCGAACGGCAGCACAGUAAGAGCUUGCUCUUACGGGUGGCGAGUGGCGGACGGGUGAGGAAUACAUCGGAAUCUACUUUUUCGUGGGGGAUAACGUAGGGAAACUUACGCUAAUACCGCAUACGACCUACGGGUGAAAGCAGGGGAUCUUCGGACCUUGCGCGAUUGAAUGAGCCGAUGUCGGAUUAGCUAGUUGGCGGGGUAAAGGCCCACCAAGGCGACGAUCCGUAGCUGGUCUGAGGGGAUGAUCAGCCACACUGGAACUGAGACACGGUCCAGACUCCUACGGGAGGCAGCAGUGGGGAAUAUUGGACAAUGGGCGCAAGCCUGAUCCAGCCAUACCGCAUGGGUGAAGAAGGCCUUCGGGUUGUAAAGCCCUUUUGUUGGGAAAGAAAAGCAGCAGGUUAAUACCCCGCUGUUCUGACGGUACCCAAAGAAUAAGCACCGGCUAACUUCGUG
rnacentral:rRNA from 1 species